rnacentral:rRNA from 1 species
AUUAUGGAGAGUUUGAUCCUGGCUCAGGAUGAACGCUGGCGGCGUGCCUAAUACAUGCAAGUCGAGCGGACAGACGGGAGUGC